rnacentral:tRNA from 1 species
UAUAUUUUAAUGUAUAAUGCAUAGUAAUUUUUGAGAUUACAGGAUAUAGUUUAAUUCUAUAAAAUAUAA